CUAGUCUCUUUAAUAUGUUUACAUUUAGGUGCCUAUGGUUCAUGCUCGAAGUUUUAAUGACAAAGAAUGAAAACAAUAGCCAUGCCUUUAUGAAGAAGAUGGCAGAGAACAUCAAGUUAACCAGAGAUGCCCAGUCUCCAGAUGAAUCCAAGACAAAUGAAAAACUGUAUACAGUAUGUGAUGUGGCUCUCUGUGUUAUAAAUAGUAAAAGUGCUUUGUGCAAUGCAGAUUCACCAAAGGACCCAGUCCUCCCAAUGAAAUUUUUUACACAACCUGAAAAGGACUUCUGUAACGAUAAAAGUUAUAUUUCAGAAGAGACAAGAGUACUUCUGUUAACAGGAAAGGGAACAGAGUUCAGAGGCAACAGAAACUGGAGUAAGUGAAAAUGAAGAGAACCCUGUGAGGAUUAUUUCAGUUACACCUGUAAAGAAUAUUGACCAAGUAAAAAAUAAGGAAAUUAAUUCUGAUCAGGCUACCCAGGGCAACAUCAGCAGUGACCGAGGAAAGAAAAGAACAGUAACAGCAGCUGGUACAGAAAAUAUCCAACAAACAACAGAUGAGAAAGUAGAUGAAUCGGGACCGCCUGCCCCUUCCAAACCCAGGAGAGGACGUCGACCCAAGUCUGAAUCUCAGGGCAAUGCAACCAAAAAUGAUGAUUUAAAUAAACCUAUUAACAAGGGAAGGAAGAGAGCUGCAGUGGGUCAGGAGAGCCCUGGGGGUUUGGAAGCAGGUAAUGCCAAAGCACCCAAACUGCAAGAUGUAGCCAAAAAGGCAGCACCAGCAGAAAGACAGAUUGACCUACAAAGGUAAAAAGGCAUUUGCAGAGGGAGAAAAUGAAGGCCAAACAGAAGCAGGCUCCAGCUUCUGCAAAAACUUGGAUUCACAAAUGUCCCUGAACAGAAAAUGAAGCUCACUUCAGAACACACACUCUCUGCCUUGAAAACUGAAGAAACUAUUACUUCCUUUUCACAUGACCACAAGUCCUCUGAUGGAAAUGUACAGCAGAAACUCUUGAGAGAGAGGCUAAAAGCAACUCUGUUCUCCCCCUUCCCCUAGACUUUUCUUACGAAAAGUCAAUAAUUAAGCAAAUUGCUUAACACUUGGUUCCAGUUCCUGCCUAUCUGGAGUUUAAAUGCAUAAUACACCAUUAAUUUCCACGCUGCAGUUUUUAUUUUAAAGAAAGUAACAAGAUGUCUUUACACUGACACUGAAAAUUCAUCGAUUUUAGAGCCAGGAAUUCCCAUGUUACACAGGAAGAAAUAGAAGUCUACUGAAUUAAUUUUUUAAAAGAAAAGAGAUCAAAUAUUUCUUUGUUUUUCCUUUUGGAAACUUUUAUGUAUAAUUCUUUCUGCCUGCCUACUUUUCUGCAAAAAUGAGAUGUACAGAUUUCGGUUCCCUGCUAUGAAAAGUGAUGUGGUGGCAAUUUUAUAAAUGUUGCUUUCUGAUUUUUAUCAGAGUGAGAAAAUAAUUAAAAUUAUAUUGAUUUGCAAGUAGUAAACAGUUCAUAUUUUGAUUUCCCCUCAUUUUAGUUUAAUAUAAUUUGCAAUAAAUGUACAUAUUGUUGUUUGUUUCAUAAAGCAUAUCACUUUAAAAUGGUUUUUACUCCUGUGAUUAUGUUGGAAUAUUUGGAAUUUUAAAGGAGUAAAGACUGUCCAGCAUUUGGUUUUAUAAUGUUUGUCACCAGAUUUUUAUUAAUAAUGUAAAAAAAAAAAAGUCAAUUUUUAAAAAAUAGUUGGCCUUUGGCAGCUUUGUAAGGAACGUUGGAGGUGUUUUAGGAUUGCUGUCAAUUUUCAGCAUUGUGCUAUUGGGAAAAAAGUGUUUUGCUUUGGUCUGAUGGUCUGAGCUCAUUUUUAUGUUUAUUUUAGAAAGCUGUUGCAUCAAUAUGUUAUGUUCCUUGGCAUUGUUCAGCAUAGGUAAUGUGUGCACUUUUUGUGUACACAUAAUCAUAUUUAAGUUUUUUGCAUAAAAUAAAUGCUUCUAGAUGUUAUAUGGCAGUCUUUUUAAUCUUUUUAUCAUAUGCUUGUGAAUUUUUUCAUGUUAAAGAGCUAAAGUCAUAACAUGAUUACAGUCAACUCUCCAUUAUCUAUAUAAAAUAGUGACUAUGCCUCAGGUUUUUAAUUUUUUGGUAAUCAUAAACUUACAAAAUAAAGAAGGCAUAUAAGACCUGAUUCCGGAGGAACUUGAAAUUUGUCUUUUCUCAUGACCAGAGUUCGGUCCUCCCCCAUUGUUCACUAUAGGGUCAUCCGCAAAGCCCUGGGAGAAUGUGCUGACUUCAUUUUCUUACUCAUUCCUAGCAUGGGUGAAAGGAAACAAACAACAUUUAUGUUAUAACUUGGUCUGGAUAGGCUGUAGUUAGUAUACAUGGGAUAUAAAAGAAACUGAUGCGCAUCAAAGGUGGAUGAUUCUGUAGAGUGAAGUUUGAGAGUAAAUGUCACAACGUUCUCAUAGAUAAUCAAGAGUUGGCUGUGUACGGAUUGAAAGAUGGGUAAUUAUUUUAAAUAUGCAUAUACACACACAUUCAGGUAUUCAGAAGAUGGUUAGGGAACAGUGGAUGCCAAUGAUAGAAAACGAUACCUUCGCAGGGGCAGAAAAAGCCCUACUCUUCCUUAUUGCCUCUUCAGAACCCUUUAGAAAGUAUAAAAUAUUGCCUCCAACAUGCUGAAAAAAGAGUAUCUAUGCAUAAGUAUCAGAGAAGUCCCUCAAGCAAGCAGUAGGUGUGUUACAUUUAGAAAGAGUUUAAAGUUCUCUUAGCAUCAGACAACUUGAUUCCUAAGGUUUCCUUCGUGUCACCAACAAAAAGUGCAUUGAUAGGGCCUUUGGCUCUUCCUCCCUUUGAUUAAUUGCCCAACAUCACAGUUUAAUUACCAAGUGUGACAUCAUAUUAAAACGUAGCAGAACUAUCUGCAUCAAUAUAUUCCUGUUUAGAUUUUUGCAGGAGACAAGUUACUUGAAAGACAAGAUCUGGUCCUUGUGUGAUGUAAAUGGCCCACCCGUUUUGUAAUAUGAUGCAAGUGUCUGGCACUAAGGGAAGCAAGAGUAGGAUUGUAGAGAGAUCGAUCUGAUGGGGAGGGACUUAUUUACGGGAAAUUUUUUAGUUUUCCUUUUUGAAGGAAAACAUUAAAAUCCCUUAGGAAUUUGGUAUUCACAUCUCAGAGAACUACAACACAAAAGUGCAGACUUAUAUUUGAGAAUUAAUAUUAACCCUUUGUGUCUAGUUUGAAGCUUCUUGUAUUUGUCUAAAACUACAAGCCAGAAUUUUGUAUCUCCUUUGAUAUAAAGUGUGUAUAAUGUAAAGUAGUUUUGCAUAUUAUUGUGCUGCACAUGGGCUGAAUUUUUAAAUUUUUUUUAAAAACUUGAAGCAGAACCUUGUAAUUUGUGUAAAUGACAAGUGUAAAAUCCUACCAUAAAAUGCUAAAGAUAUGCACUGUUUCAAAUAAAACCAAGAAAUGCAGCAUUA